CGACACGGUUCGCGAGGAAGGUGGGGACGGGGCAGAAGUCAGCAGAGGUCGUAGUACCGGGGAGAACGCUCGAAACGCCGGGGAGGGC
rfam:Mycobacterium heidelbergense strain DSM 44471 NODE_27_length_66466_cov_54.8737, whole genome shotgun sequence.